rnacentral:lncRNA from 1 species
AGACCACAGAGAAAUCCAGGCUGGUCCGAGGGAAGGAGCCCUUCCUAAUCAAGAACACGAAGCCCCAUCCCGACCAGAUGACCUUGUACUAACCCAGCAGAACCAGCCAGAACCUCAGCCCAUUCCACCUCAUAUGGCCCCGCAUGAUCAACCUUUGGCACUUCUGCCUGAACCACCAGUAGUAUUUCCAUAUAGACCCAGAAGGAUGGACCCUAAUCCAUUCCCUCCACCCGCAAGAGGAAGAAGAGGCAGAGGGGGAAAUAACCUUUUUGCUAAUCAUGACAGGAAUAGGCCGGGGGCAAGCGGGAGGAAUCACCCAGACAUCGAAGAGCAGGAAGGGCACAGGGAGGAAGCCCCACCCAGACCAUACAGAGCAGAGCCUAGGAUCGAUUACGUCCAGCCAGAACAGGGACAAAAUCUUCCCCCCG